rnacentral:rRNA from 1 species
AUUCCAGCUCCAAUAGCGUAUAUUAAAGUUGUUGCGGUUAAAAAGCUCGUAGUUGGAGUUCUGCCAGGUGCCACCUGUCCGCCCCAGUGGUGAGUACGUGGUGCGCAUUUGGCCCUUUCAAGGGGAGCGUAUUUGCACUUAAUUGUGUGGUGCGGGAUCCUUGACUUUUACUUUGAGGAAAUAAGAGUGUUCCAAGCAGGCUCUCGUCGUGCAUAGCUCAGCAUGGAAUAAUAGCAUUGGACCUCGAUUCUAUUUUGUUGGUUGGAGGCCAAGGUAAUGAUUAAUAGGGAUAGUUGGGGGUAUUCAUAUUUAAUUGUCAGAGGUAAAAUUCUUGGAUUUAUGAAAGAUGAACUCAUGCGAAAGCAUUUACCAAGGAUGUUUUCAUUG